UACAGAGGUCUCAAGCGUUGUUCGUAUUCAUUGGGCGUAAAUGGUGCGUAGGCGGCGCGGUAAGUCGGGUGUGAAAUCUUGGAGCUUAACUCCGAAACUGCAUUCGAUACUGCCGUGCUUGAGGACUGGAGAGGAGACUGGAAUUUACGGUGUAGCGGUGAAAUGCGUAGAUAUCGUAAGGAAGACCAGUGGCGAAGGCGGGUCUCUGGACAGUUCCUGACGCUGAGGCACGAAGGCCAGGGGAGCAAACGGG
rnacentral:rRNA from 1 species